GAAAAGCAAAGACAUAUGGAGCAAAUGAAUGGAGGGCAUAUCACAGACUGCCAACAGGGGGCACCAUUUCAAGGUACAGUAACAUCAAACCACAUAAACAUUGGUUAAUACUGGGUCUCAUUUUCCUAUUUUUGCAUAAAAAAUACACUUAGAUUUUUCCAUGUAUUACUUUCUGUUUCUUACAGGAAAGCAAAGACAUAUGGAGCAAAUGAAUGGAGGGCAUAUCACAGACUGCCAACAGGGGGCACCAUUUCAAGGUCCAGGUCGACCACUCCCUCCAGAGUGUGGUGGAUAUCCUCUGGGAGUUUCUCAACAGCCGAAUUCCUCCAUGCUGUCCCAUAGCGGCCCUUUGCCCUCAAAUCGAAUGGGUCUUUCCUCCAGCUCAGUCUCCCAGAUGGGCCCAUCGGUUGGAGGAUACAUGUGCAGCAAAAGUUCCAAACAACCACUCUGCCACCCGUCGCAAGACUUUGGAAUGGCGAUGCAGCCAGGCCAGAGCAUGAUGGGAACAGGUGGCCCUCCACGUCAACCGCUACACCCAGCUCACGCUGUGACACGACCAGGAAUGCCAUGUCCAAACCUACCAGGCGGUCCUGUGCCGACCCACCACCUGCGGCAGGUGCUGCACCAAGACAGAGCUCUUCAGUCACAUAUGAUGUUCCCUUCUCAGCAGCAGCAGCAGCAGCAGCCCACGUCACAGUCCCAGCUCUGGCAGCACCAACAAGGGGUGCAACCACAUAUGGACCCUGCGAACCACCAACAUCCCUUCCCCGCCGGAGGAGCCCUACCUGGAUGCCGAGGUCCUCAGUUUCCACAGCGAUCUGGCAUGGCAGCUAUGCCAGCCAACUUCCCUGGUUCCCGUCCUCCUCCAAAUCAAAUAGCCCCUGGUUUGGUUAGCAGACAGGACCAGAAGAUGCCCACCACCCAGCCACUAUCCUCUAUGUCCCAACAGAACUUCAGAAUGCGAGGUCCGCUUUCCGCUCUAGCUGUUAUGAAACCAGGAGGACGGUCCAUGAUGCACCCUGCUCCUGGGAUGGCGCCUCCUAGUUACCAGACUGCUUUUGCAGGGAAACACUGUUCACCGCAGAGCUACAACCCCAGAGAUAAACUGCCUUCCUAUGACUACCGGACACAGCAUCAGAGCAAUGGGGCAAUGGCAGCGGGGCUACAAGGACCUGGAGGCGGAGGUGGUGGCAGUGCGGAGGUGGACUUCAUAGACACUCUGGUGGGCAACAACGAAGACUGGCUGAACAAUCUCACCAUGAUUGAUGAAUACCUUGAACAAAAUUUAUAGGGACUGAUCAAGAGCGUCCUAGGUUUGAAAAUCACUACAAACAGCUCCAGAAUGGGGCCAUGGGGUCAUCGCUCUGUAAAGGCGCGUUCACACCAAGAGCGCUAACUAUAACAAGAACUAUAUUAGUGUCCACACCAAUGGACCAUAAUAUUCUGUUCCUUAUAAGCUUGCAGCUGCAUUGUCUGCUAUUGUAAAGCCCUGACUUUUCUGAAAUUUUAUGGAAAGUUCACUUUUGCAAGCUGUUUCGAACUCCAGGAACGAACUCCAAACAAACUUUGUUUUGGUCUAAGUUUGUUCUAAAUAAUGGAGUAUAUUAGGUCCUUUAAAUAUGCAAGCUGUUUAAACUUGUGUGGUAUCUGAUUGACUUAAAAAACUUUUUAGUUUAUCGUUAUAUCGUUACAUCUUUGGUGUGAACGAACCUUAAAGUCUUAAAGUGUUUUUUUUUUCUUUUUUCUCUCAUGGCUAGCAUUAGUGAGAAUGUAUCGGUGGAAAUGAGGCACUGCUAACCCUCCUGAAAUGGCUUUGGCUGUCGUUAAACUGGCUUAUAUUAUAAGAUGGCUUUUCCUUUUCUCUAUGGUUGCUCUGCGCUGUUUUAGGAUAAUAUUGUAAUUAUUGUCAAAUGUAUUACGGAGUGAAACACUGAUUUAUGAAAACAUGGGCUUUGCUCAGCAGUGUAAAGAAAGUUCUCAUUCAGUUAAAGGGACAGUUCACCCAAAAAUGACAAUUCUGUCAGCAUUUACUUGCCCUCAUGUCGUUCCAAACCUGUAUGACAGAAGAUAUUUUGAAGACCAAUUUUUGUCUGUUCAAUGAGAGUUAAUGGGGUUUAAAACAACACUGACUUUCAAUGUAUGUACAAAAACACUUUUUCUGACCUGCUUUACAUGGAGUGAGUAGAUGAUGACAGAACUGUCAUUUUUGGGUGAACGGGUCCCCUUUAAUGCAAUGUGGUAACAGUAUUGUUAGCAGUCUCAUGCCAGACCAGACUCAUAUGUGCAGCUUUUCAUUCUUGCUAUUUGAAAAGCAUAUGAAACUUUUCAUUCUUGCUAUUUGAAAAGCAUAUGAAAUCAUUUCUGUGAUGGACUAUUUGAGGGUAUUUCAAAAGGGGGUUUGUCCUGUACAUAAAGGAUUUUGUAAAAUAUGGUUUCUUAAACUGUAACAUACAAAAGAGAAGUACACAUAUUUAUGCUUCUUUUCUGCUGAUGAAUUCUUCAGAAUUUCUUUGUAAAUAAUUAUUAAAAGAAUAAAUAAACAAAAAUGCAAUGUAAAGAAAUGAGUGUCACAUUGAAAUUGCAAAUUAAAUAUUUUACACUAAGCAACUCUAUUGUAAUUUGUAUUAUGCAAGACAGUAUGGUUAGAUUUGGAGUAAUACUAUGUAUUACAAAGGUGAACAAUUUGUUAUGCUUUUGACAUAACCGGACUUCUGGUACUCCAGUCUGACUUAAAGUUUUUUUGUUUUGCGUUUUUAAAUUGUGAGGUUUGGAGUUCAAUGUUUCUCGGCCUUGUUACAGCAUUUCAUUCUAACAUUAAUUGCAGAAUCUAAAGGUUCUCUAACUUGUGUCAUAUUGCCAUAGCAUAAUACAUUUUACACUGUCUUUGUAAUAAUAUUUUCCAUCUAAGGAAAUGAGGAUCUUAAGGAUCUAGAUGCUUUUUGGACCAAGGACACUUUUCAGCAAUUCUAGGAAUGUCGUUUGUAAGUACACACCAGCUACACUGAAACAGCAGCCUCAAUGUAGCAGAGGGACAAAUAUAUGAUCACACCACAUUUCAUGUAAUAUAAGAGCAACACCUGUCACAGUAAGUGCAUAAAACCCACAGUCCUUUGUGCCAGAGUCUUGGGUUUCCAAAAGUUCAUGACCAUGUAGUUGAUGCCAUGAACUUUAAGACAUUCUGAUUUGUGUUUUAUUAUAUUUUGUCUUCAUAUUUUUAGAUUGGAAAAUAAACUGUAAAAAAAAAAGUCCCCUGUUCUUCUUUAAUAUAUCUUACUUCUGUUUCCAUUAGUGGUAAGAGUGACAUUUAUGACUACAGAUAAAUAUUAGCACCAUACCUCAUUUAGUGUUGAGAUGCCUGAUAACUACUGUGCUAAAAUGAUCUUAUAGGUUCACAAGAACACCAGGGUCAGUAUAUCUCUUUGUGACUGCUUAUCAGGACGAUGCAGGGAUAAAGUAAACAUAUUUGUGAUACUGAUUUAAGAGAGAAAAUACCUUCUUUCACUACUGCUCGCUUUGAUUUUUGUUGUAGUCUUUUUAUUUUACAUUUUUUACAAAAUUGUCUUAUUAUAAAAGUAACAGUUUUUUUAUUUUUUAUUUUAUUUUGAUUAUUACGAUAAAGGGGUUAAAUGACAUCUUUAGUUUAAACUUAAAGGAAAGAUGAGCUCACACAGAAGUAUUUCACUUUCCAGUCAUGAUAUUAUGAUUCCUGAACACAACUGAACAUCUCUUGGAUUCAUUUCCUUCAUAGUGUAGCUUUUUAGUGUGGUAAAUGAAAUCAUUUAUUUUCUUAUCUAGAGGUAAUAUGAGAAUGGUCAUAUAGAAAAUAAAAAUAAUAAUUAAUCUAAUAAAGGUGCUCUAGAAUUUUGAGGCAAUAUUUUAUUACAGUUAGACCUUUAGCCUUUGUCUUAGCCCACUUGUCUUAGGUGUCUGUAAGUAUUUAGCAAUGAAUAAGUUAAUGUGUGUGGUUUUUUUUUAAUGUGUUUUAAGCUCACAUUUUUCAACAUUUACUUCAAGGUUUUUUUUUUCUUUUUCCAACUAUGCAACUUUCCAACUUGAUUUCUUUCCCAUGCAGUGGAAAGACAGUGGGGUCAUACAGGAUUCAUUUCUGGUACAAGUUAAAGAUUCUGCAUAUACUAUACAGUCUCUCUUCUUCUGCACAGGCUUCCGUAGAUGAAUAGAUAAAUAUAAAUAGGCAUUUUUGCAUAGUUCCUCUUAAUGCUGUUUUAUGGUUUUGCCUGUUUCAUUUUUAGAUCGGCAGUUUUGCUUC
rnacentral:lncRNA from 1 species